UGUGUAGUACAUACACUCCACACUGUGUAAGAUUCCUUGCCAGAUCCAAGUUUUUAUUUUAUUGUUGUAUCAUUUCUUUUUUUAAACAAUCAAGAAUAUCCGUGAACAUGAAUGCAACCAUAUGGUACAUAUCAGCAACUAUUGUGCAUACCAGUAUGACAAAAACAUAUUCUUCUUUUCAUUACAUGUCCAUACAGUUCUCAUCAUGAAAAACAAUUGUUGUUGACUUCAUUUAGUGAUAAUUUCAUACAAAUCUGGUAUUUGAUUUCAUAUCCAAUGUAUUGAUGUGUUAUAAUUCUGCAUUUAUGUGUUAACCUUUGUUCAUAUACAUGUGUACAUUAUUAUAGAACUGUACUUCCUGUUCAAUCACCACACUUGAUGAUUUCUUGGCUUAUCUACAGGAACUACAGUUCUGCAAAUAUAUCAUAAGUUUCUUUAUCAUGUAUCAUUAGCUCUUACAAUGGAAGUGCUUUUGUCGACAUGCUUUGUUACACCAAGGUUCAAGUUUUUUACAUUGACUUUAUCAGUUGAUUAUUAUGUAAAAAAAAAAAAAAAAAAAAAAGACAUACUGAACGUGAUAACUUUUUUCUGUUUUACAUUGUACAAUCUGUUUAUUUUUAUGAAUCAUACUUUUUUGUAUGAACAUUGUUGAUUGUGUAUAAAUACAUUUCCAACC
rnacentral:misc_RNA from 1 species